GUCAUUUUUUGGUUGAAUAUUGAGUGUAUUUUCAUCAAGCAACCAAUUCUCUAAGAUAAUAGAUAGUGGCACUUCAACAUCAUGUUCAUUUUCUUCCUUCUUUAUUUCAAUUUUAAUAGCCUCAGGAGUUGUUGUUUGAGACAACUCAUCUGAACUUGAUGAUUCAAAUGAUUCCAAACCAAAUAGUGACUCAAAUGCUUCCAUCAACCCCAUUCCACCUUUGGUUUCAGCAUUUGGAGUCCCAUCACAUGAAGAUGAAUCAGUUGUUGCAAUGUUGUUUGAUGAAGUUUUUGAACUUUCAGAAUUAUUUGUGGAAGAAGUACUUGAUCCUAUCCAUCCUUGUAGCAAUCUAGCUAUAUUUUCAGUACUUGAUGCAUAAAUAGUAGAAGUAGAAGAAACUUGUGUAUUUUCUUGUUUAAUAUUAUUAUUGUGUGAGCUUGUUGGAUUUUCAAGUGACAAAGCACUAUGUAAAGCCUUUUUAGCCAUGUUAAUAUCAGCUUGAAGUGUCCUUUCCCAUUGCCCUCUGGAGGUUGAAUUAAAUUUUGAUAAACAAUGUCCAUCAUUUGAGUAUAAAUCACUUGUUUCAAGCUUCCUCAGCUUCUUUUUUAAAUGAGUAUUCCAGUAAUUUUUAAUGUCGUUAUCGGUUCUCUCAGGGAGAUAUGAAGCUAUGGCAGCCCAUUUGUUGCCU
rnacentral:misc_RNA from 1 species